rnacentral:rRNA from 1 species
AGAGUUUGAUCAUGGCUCAGAUUGAACGCUGGCGGCAUGCUUUACACAUGCAAGUCGAACGGCAGCGGGGGUGCUUGCACCUGCCGGCGAGUGGCGAACGGGUGAGUAAUGCAUCGGAACGUGUCCUUAAGUGGGGAAUAACGCAUCGAAAGAUGUGCUAAUACCGCGUAGUCUCUGAGGAGUAAAGCAGGGGAUCGAAAGACCUUGCGCUUAAGGAGCGGCCGAUGUCUGAUUAGCUAGUUGGUGGGGUAAAGGCCUACCAAGGCAACGAUCAGUAGUUGGUCUGAGAGGACGACCAACCACACUGAGACUGAGACACGGCCCAGACUCCUACGGGAGGCAGCAGUGGGGAAUUUUGGACAAUGGGCGCAAGCCUGAUCCAGCCAUGCCGCGUGAGUGAAGAAGGCCUUCGGGUUGUAAAGCUCUUUCAGUUGGGAAGAAACGAUUGCAACUAAUAAUUGUAAUUAAUGACGGUACCGACAGAAGAAGCACCGGCUAACUACGUGCCAGCAGCCGCGGUAAUACGUAGGGUGCGAGCGUUAAUCGGAAUUACUGGGCGUAAAGGGUGCGCAGGCGGUUUUGUAAGUCAGAUGUGAAAUCCCCGGGCUUAACCUGGGAAU